ACACCACCGACGGCCUCAACCACAACAACAUUGACAGCAGCAGCAACAACAACUCUGACAGAAACAGCGACUCCUUAUCUGUGGCCAAUGUGUGUUCGUACGGUGGUUGUUAUCCUCUAUUUAAUCAUCAUGAUCAGCAUCACUGUCACCACCUGGAUAAAAGCUCGACGAACGGAAGCGACGUACAACAGAAACAGGAAACGAUCUC